rnacentral:lncRNA from 1 species
UGCUCUUGAAGAAUGUGUCCCAUACUAUCUAACCUCUCAACAGAAGUUUGAAGCAGUUCAUUUUCUUAGGACAUAAAGCUACAGGGGACUUGAAGAAGGAAUACAAGAGAAGCCCCCAGGGAGCAGGGUGUACUGGAAGCUGGAAUCUUUUCUGUCUCCUGAAUCUUCAGCUGCCUGAACUAGGUACAGAUAUGUGCAUGCAACUGACAGAGCCUCUUUGGGCUGUACCAAGAUACCAGGUGACAAUCUGGGAAUUUUAUUAUGACAAAACCAAGCACAGUAAUAGCAUCAUUAAGAACAAUUAAUAACUGAGAAUGCUUAUUUUGAGCCAGUUGAAUACAACUGGCCAGCUUUUCCUAUAAAAGCUUCUGACAAGUGGUAUCUCCUGACAAGAAGUUGUAUUUGAGAGGCCAAUUGGGUGUCAAUGCGGUUUUUCCCCUCUAAACUCAAAAUGCCUCUUAUACUUUAUUCUUUCUACAUAAAAGUUUCA